rnacentral:rRNA from 1 species
GAUGAACGCUGGCGGCGCGCCUAACACAUGCAAGUCGAACGGAGUGGCGAACGGCUGAGUAACACGUGGGCAACCUGCCCUCCUCUUGGGGAUAGCCUCGGGACACCGGGAUAAUACCCGAUAGAGAGGGAUGGCCCGCGGCCUGUUAGCUUGUGGGUGGGGUAGAGGCCUACCAAGGCAAUGAUGGGUAGAUGGGUUGAGAGACCGACCAGCGAGAUUGGGACUGGGAAACGGCCCAGACUCCAACGUGAGGCAGUAGUGGGGAAUCUUGCACAGUGGGCGAAAGCCUGAUGCAGCGACGCCGCGUGCGGAAAGAAGUCCUUCGGGGUGUAAACCGCUUUCAGCAGGGACGCGGUACCUGCAGAAGAAGCCCCGGCUAACUACGUGCCAGCAGCCGCGGUAAUUC